rnacentral:rRNA from 1 species
CGAACGAUGAAGCCCAGCUUGCUGGGUGGAUUAGUGGCGAACGGGUGAGUAACACGUGAGUAACCUGCCCUUAACUCUGGGAUAAGCCUGGGAAACUGGGUCUAAUACCGGAUAGGAGCGCCUACCGCAUGGUGGGUGUUGGAAAGAUUUAUCGGUUUUGGAUGGACUCGCGGCCUAUCAGCUUGUUGGUGAGGUAAUGGCUCACCAAGGCGACGACGGGUAGCCGGCCUGAGAGGGUGACCGGCCACACUGGGACUGAGACACGGCCCAGACUCCUACGGGAGGCAGCAGUGGGGAAUAUUGCACAAUGGGCGCAAGCCUGAUGCAGCGACGCCCGCGUGAGGGAUGACGGCCUUCGGGUUGUAAACCUCUUUCAGUAGGGAAGAAGCGAAAGUGACGGUACCUGCAGAAGAAGCACCGGCUAACUACGUGCCAGCAGCCGCGGUAAUACGUAGGGUGCGAGCGUUAUCCGGGAAUUAUUGGGCGUAAAGAGCUCGUAGGCGGUUUGUCGCGUCUGUCGUGAAAGUCCGGGGCUUAACCCCGGAUCUGCGGUGGGUACGGGCAGACUAGAGUGCAGUAGGGGAGACUGGAAUUCCUGGUGUAGCGGUGGAAUGCGCAGAUAUCAGGAGGAACACCGAUGGCGAAGGCAGGUCUCUGGGCUGUAACUGACGCUGAGGAGCGAAAGCAUGGGGAGCGAACAGGAUUAGAUACCCUGGUAGUCCAUGCCGUAAACGUUGGGCACUAGGUGUGGGGACCAUUCCACGGUUUCCGCGCCGCAGCUAACGCAUUAAGUGCCCCGCCUGGGGAGUACGGCCGCAAGGCUAAAACUCAAAGGAAUUGACGGGGGCCCGCACAAGCGGCGGAGCAUGCGGAUUAAUUCGAUGCAACGCGAAGAACCUUACCAAGGCUUGACAUGUUCUCGAUCGCCGUAGAGAUACGGUUUCCCCUUUGGGGCGGGUUCACAGGUGGUGCAUGGUUGUCGUCAGCUCGUGUCGUGAGAUGUUGGGUUAAGUCCCGCAACGAGCGCAACCCUCGUUCCAUGUUGCCAGCACGUAAUGGUGGGGACUCAUGGGAGACUGCCGGGGUCAACUCGGAGGAAGGUGAGGACGACGUCAAAUCAUCAUGCCCCUUAUGUCUUGGGCUUCACGCAUGCUACAAUGGCCGGUACAAUGGGUUGCGAUACUGUGAGGUGGAGCUAAUCCCAAAAAGCCGGUCUCAGUUCGGAUUGGGGUCUGCAACUCGACCCCAUGAAGUCGGAGUCGCUAGUAAUCGCAGAUCAGCAACGCUGCGGUGAAUACGUUCCCGGGCCUUGUACACACCGCCCGUCAAGUCACGAAAGUCGGUAACACCCGAAGCCGGUGGCCUAACCCUUG